rnacentral:rRNA from 1 species
AGACCCGAAACCCGGUGAUCUAGCCAUGGGCAGGUUGAAGGUUGGGUAACACUAACUGGAGGACCGAACCGACUAAUGUUGAAAAAUUAGCGGAUGACCUGUGGCUGGGGGUGAAAGGCCAAUCAAACCGGGAGAUAGCUGGUUCUCCCCGAAAGCUAUUUAGGUAGCGCCUCGUGAAUUCAUCUCCGGGGGUAGAGCACUGUUUCGGCUAGGGGGCCAUCCCGGCUUACCAACCCGAUGCAAACUGCGAAUACCGGAGAAUGUUAUCACGGGAGACACACGGCGGGUGCUAACGUCCGUCGUGAAGAGGGAAACAACCCAGACCGCCAGCUAAGGUCCCAAAGUCAUGGUUAAGUGGGAAACGAUGUGGGAAGGCCCAGACAGCCAGGAUGUUGGCUUAGAAGCAGCCAUCAUUUAAAGAAAGCGUAAUAGCUCACUGGUCGAGUCGGCCUGCGCGGAAGAUGUAACGGGGCUAAACCAUGCACCGAAGCUGCGGCAGCGAACGUAUCACUUAAAACGAUUCAGAAGCUUACGAUUGACGGAGCGAAGCGACGUCAAAGCGUAUACAAAGUCGAGUCGGUUUAAGGAUACGUUCGUUGGGUAGGGGAGCGUUCUGUAAGCCUGCGAAGGUGGCCUGUGAGGGUUGCUGGAGGUAUCAGAAGUGCGAAUGCUGACAUAAGUAACGAUAAAGCGGGUGAAAAGCCCGCUCGCCGGAAGACCAAGGGUUCCUGUCCAACGUUAAUCGGGGCAGGGUGAGUCGACCCCUAAGGCGAGGCCGAAAGGCGUAGUCGAUGGGAAACGGGUUAAUAUUCCCGUACUUGGUGUUACUGCGAAGGGGGGACGGAGAAGGCUAUGUUGGCCGGGCGACGGUUGUCCCGGUUUAAGCGUGUAGGCUGACUUUCCAGGCAAAUCCGGAGAGUCAAGGCUGAGGCGUGACGACGAGGCACCACGGUGCUGAAGCAACAAAUGCCCUGCUUCCAGGAAAAGCCUCUAAGCAUCAGGUAACAUCAAAUCGUACCCCAAACCGACACAGGUGGUCAGGUAGAGAAUACCAAGGCGCUUGAGAGAACUCGGGUGAAGGAACUAGGCAAAAUGGUGCCGUAACUUCGGGAGAAGGCACGCUGACACGUAGGUGAAGUGGUUUACCCAUGGAGCUGAAGUCAGUCGAAGAUACCAGCUGGCUGCAACUGUUUAUUAAAAACACAGCACUGUGCAAACACGAAAGUGGACGUAUACGGUGUGACGCCUGCCCGGUGCCGGAAGGUUAAUUGAUGGGGUCAGCGCAAGCGAAGCUCCUGAUCGAAGCCCCGGUAAACGGCGGCCGUAACUAUAACGGUCCUAAGGUAGCGAAAUUCCUUGUCGGGUAAGUUCCGACCUGCACGAAUGGCGUAAUGAUGGCCAGGCUGUCUCCACCCGAGACUCAGUGAAAUUGAACUCGCUGUGAAGAUGCAGUGUACCCGCGGCAAGACGGAAAGACCCCGUGAACCUUUACUAUAGCUUGACACUGAACAUUGAGCCUUGAUGUGUAGGAUAGGUGGGAGGCUUUGAAGCGUGGACGCCAGUCUGCGUGGAGCCGACCUUGAAAUACCACCCUUUAAUGUUUGAUGUUCUAACGUGGACCCGUGAUCCGGGUUGCGGACAGUGUCUGGUGGGUAGUUUGACUGGGGCGGUCUCCUCCUAAAGAGUAACGGAGGAGCACGAAGGUUGGCUAAUCCUGGUCGGACAUCAGGAGGUUAGUGCAAUGGCAUAAGCCAGCUUGACUGCGAGCGUGACGGCGCGAGCAGGUGCGAAAGCAGGUCAUAGUGAUCCGGUGGUUCUGAAUGGAAGGGCCAUCGCUCAACGGAUAAAAGGUACUCCGGGGAUAACAGGCUGAUACCGCCCAAGAGUUCAUAUCGACGGCGGUGUUUGGCACCUCGAUGUCGGCUCAUCACAUCCUGGGGCUGAAGUAGGUCCCAAGGGUAUGGCUGUUCGCCAUUUAAAGUGGUACGCGAGCUGGGUUUAGAACGUCGUGAGACAGUUCGGUCCCUAUCUGCCGUGGGCGCUGGAGAACUGAGGGGGGCUGCUCCUAGUACGAGAGGACCGGAGUGGACGCAUCACUGGUGUUCGGGUUGUCAUGCCAAUGGCACUGCCCGGUAGCUAAAUGCGGAAGAGAUAAGUGCUGAAAGCAUCUAAGCACGAAACUUGCCCCGAGAUGAGUUCUCCCUGAGACUUAGAGUCUCCUGAAGGAACGUUGAAGACGACGACGUUGAUAGGCCGGGUGUGUAAGCGCAGCGAUGCGUUGAGCUAACCGGUACUAAUGAACCGUGAGGCUUAACCUUACAACGCCGAAGCUGUU